UGGGUUCCUCCCUAAAAGCAUGACCCUUUCUCCCAGUUUUGCCCAGUUCAAUGUUUUUCACUACAAAGAAAUCAACCAGCCGAUUGAUCUCUAAUACAAAUAUAACGGCUGCCAUCAAUCAUGUUCAUCAUUGGCAUUAAAAGCUUCGACUAAACUAUUUGAUAUUAAACCCACGCCUCAAUCUCUAGCCUUUUUAUCUUACACCAACACACAUAUCAGAGAGGGAAAGGAGAGCAGGGAAGACGGAUCCAUGGAGAUCGAGAAAACGAUAGCGGUGGCGGUGGUGGUUGUGUUGGCCGCCCAUCAAUUCAAGACCUAACAGGUUAUUGCACCAGCAAUGUCUACAACCUGUGAGUUGGCAAGUGAGUAAACAGAUCCUUUUAAAUUUCAUUUCACACGAAAAAGGCAAUUACAAAGCAAUGGCAGUUGGUUGU
rnacentral:lncRNA from 1 species